GCAAAUAGUACACCUAUGAAUGUCCUAAUAGCAAAACGCAUAAUAACUGUUAAGAUUUGCCUUUUCAAAGAAAAAAAAAUAUACGCCUGUUACUAGUAUACAUGUAUAAUCUAUUAAAUCUAUCUGUCUUUACAGUAUCGUACAUAUUUUUUAAAUGAGUACGAUUACUAAAUUAUUGUUUAUAAUAUAAAUAUCCAAAUUGUAAAAAUAACGCUCUAAGUGUUAAUAGUUCGGCUUAUACACCAUGCUACAUGGCAUCUUUUCAUUUAAAACAAAUUUUGUUUUCAUUCUAUGUUUAUAUGUUGAUAAAAUGCAAAGUUUAACUACCUAAAUAAAUCAAUGGCCCCAUUUCUAUCUUCCUAUUUAACACAACUUAGAAUAAAAUGAUUUUUAUACUUUACUUGGAAGCAGUUAAAUGGGCCAAUUGAAGAUUCCUCACAUAAUAAAAAAAAGAUUGCUAUAGCUUCACAAGAUCCAUAAUCAAUUAUUGAUUCUAUAAUUUCAGAUCAUUCUCUUCCUGUCAUGGGACCUGCCAACUAUUGUACUGAAUACAUCCAAUACACUUGUAUACAUGUAUAUUUAUUAAUUGCUGAUGUUGAUCGGUCUCCUCUUCUUGCUUACGGUGUUGUUCGGCAACAGAACCACCACCACUACCGGUGGAAUCACCAUCGUCAACGCUUCUGCUUCCGGUUAAAUAAAUGUCCCAUCAAAGUUUGAACUUCCCGUCAUCUUUCAAUUGAAAUAUCUCAACUUGAUCAUCCCCUCAUUCGUCUUGAACCAGGCGCUAUACUCGGGAAUUUCCCCGCCCAGUCGACUCUCUUUCAGACAUCAACCAUAGCUUCGAGCAGUUAUUAC